CCCAAGGUUGUCUAAGGACAUUUAUUGGCACACACUGCUAACAGUAUUAGAUACAUUGUGUGAAUUUUAAAAUUAAUGAUACAGAAUCUUUUGCAAGCUUCACUAAAGCAGAUGAGAGCAGGAUCGUCUUUGAAUUAUAAAUUCAAUGACAGAAACUUCAAUAAUGAAGGACUAGUGUAAAAUAACUUCUGCCCUUUAAUGCAUUGCAACAUCGGGAAUCUUUGCUCAUCUAAUCCUUGCAUUAAAACUCAGGAGCCAGCUGGGCUGCUGUAACCCUUGUGAAACAAAAUGGGGAAAGAGCUGUAAAUGCUUCUGCCCCUGUUGGGACAUAACAUUGGAAUGCCCUUGUUGCAUCUGACUUUCUUGCAGAAUAUUGGAGAGCUUCCAACCUUUUAAACUGCUCCAGCUUUAAUUUAUCCCACUUCUGAUGUUCUCCCCUACCGUAUAUCUCAUCCCCCCCAUUUCCUACCCCCUUUUGCUCUUAGAGAGUAUAUAUUUAUUUAGCAAAAUAUUUUAAAAGCGGCCUGAAUUUAUGUUUAAAAUUAGUUGUCAAUGUUAUUAUCCCUGUGAAUAAAAUAUAUGUUGUACAUUUGA